AGCUCUAUACCAAUUACAAAUGGCAGCUGCAGAUAGUCGUGACUGCGCAGAUGCUAGCGAAGAUUCAAUAUUUCUUUCAGUGAAACCUCGUCGUAUUUUACUGUUCAGUGGAAAAAGAAAGUCCGGCAAGGAUUACAUUACUGACAUUUUACAGCAAAGAUUAAACCAUUUGCCGUGCGUGACGAUAAAGAUUUCUGGACCUAUAAAAAUUCAUUGGGCCAAAAGUUUGAACCUAGAUUUCAAAGAAUUACUUGGAGAUGGAGAAUACAAAGAGAAAUACAGGGGACAGAUGAUUGCAUGGGGUGAAAAUAUGAGGAACAAAGAUAUUGGCUACUUUUGUCGUGCUGCUAUCGAUAUGUAUAAUGCUCGUAAUAUACCCAUAUGGAUAGUCAGUGACAUAAGACGGAAAACUGAUAUUCAAUGGUUCGUUGAAAAUUUUGGCAGCGCUUGUAAAACUGUAAGAAUUAUUGCUGAUGAUGAAAUCAGGACAAAACGAGGAUGGAUCUUCACACCAGGUAUAGACGAUGCAGAGUCUGAAUGUGAUUUAGACAACAUGAAUAAGUGGGACUUGAAAGUUUACAACAAUGAUGACGAUAUUGAUGAUAUUUUGGACACUAUCAUCAGUCUGAUAAAUUGAUCUAGUUUUACAAUUGAUGAAAUGUCGAAAUACAAUCAAGAAGCUGGCUUAAAAGGACUAGGAAAACAAAAACCGCAGUCAUUAACCUGUCUUGCCAGAACAAACGUCUGAUCAUAAGUCUGCAAAUUUUAAAGUCAAAUAUGUCAUAAUAAGUGUAUAUAUAUUAAUUCUGUAAAAAUAUUUAUUUUUACAUUGGUAUAUAAAUUGUGGUUUAAUUUCAAAACGGACAAUUCAAAGGCAGAUAGGCUGUUGUGGAAUCAGUAAGAUGAACUUCUACAACUAGAAAAAAUUUCAUUGAAAAAGUACAUCCACUACUCACCGGAGACUGAUUAUUAAAUUCUAUCAACCCUGCUGUGCAACUGUUAUACUUCUUGGUGACGUUAUUAUUUUGGAACAUUAGAAACGAAGUUCAUAGCACGGUGCUAUUUGCAAUUUUUCAAUGGCCCAACUUUUUAUUGUGAAAUCAUUGAAAUCAAGUGAAAAUCUAUGCUAAUUGUUACUAAGUAACCUCCUUAUUGACGUGUGAUAGAACACGCGCAAUUUAAUUGAACACACCCAAAUCAUGGGACUAUGCAUGGAACCUAGAAGACUAUGCAUGUAUUAAUAAGUUAUCAAUAAAUUAUCUGUCAUAGAGUUGUAUGUAAUUCACGAUCUAUGAUUAAGGAAAUUAUUAGAGGAGCAACUUACCACUUGUGACUCAUGAAAAGUUAUACACUUGACUGUACGGAAGGUUAAAAAUGAAAUUUCUAUUUUACAAAUAAUAGUCACGGUCUUACAUUUGAUAUCUGAAGACAAACAGAAUGAAACCACUGAGCAAUUAUAUUUGAAAUUGGUUGUUGAUGCCAGACAAACAACAGAUAAUUGUAUUUAAUACCUUGGCAGAUUAUAAAGCAAGCGUAUACGUAUGUAAAAACAUUUACGCAUUUUUAUUAACAUUUUUUACAUUUUUUCAUGUCUUCUCUUUCAUUUCUCCUUCUGUCUCUGUUUAAAUAGUUACAUUACAAUGUUUUUGUGAAAUUUUUCAUACAACUGUGUGUAUGAUUGAUAAACAGCAAUCUGUGCAGUCUGUUCGCAGAAUUAAUGCGCACUUAACUUUGAAAUUUUCAUUCCAUAAAAGGUCAUUUUUAUAUUUCAUCAUAUAAUAUAUAAAUAUCGGACCUUCGUUUUUAACCGUGUGAUUAUUAACUUUAAAAAUUUCUCCUAUUCCUUUAUUUCUUCACUUCCGAGUUCCAACUGACAACAGAUAUUUGGUUGCAUGCUUAAUUCCAACAAUUAUAUCUUGACGCAAGAAAAUAUAAAUACAAUAGAUUAGUUUCAAUACAACUGUCACAGUCUUAUUUUAUAGACAUGUUUUUUAUCUUUUGUCAAGUCAGACUGUAACUUUCAAUCUGUAAUAUUAUGAUACAACGUUAACAUCAGAGAGGUUUUUGCCUAUUGGUUAUUUAAUUCAAUUUUUCCAAUUCAUUGCCCAAUCUUUGAGAUUGUGUAAUGAUUAUGGUGAAUUUUUAUUAUCUGUUAUAGUGUAGACAUGCAUUACGAAAUUCAAGUAAUUAAAUUUUACAUUAUGAUGGUUGUUCAACAAGAAAUAAUACAACACAAAAUUGUCAACCUGUCUGGUGUUGACGUUUAGCGUCAAUUUGAAUCAUGCAAAGUGUGCUCGAUUCAAUUAUGCAGUUAUUUUGAGUUCCUAUAGGCAUAAAGUAGCGGUUGAAUUUCAUCUCAGCCAAAGCUUUAAUCGCAAGGCAUCUACACCGUUUAAAUAAUAUCGAAAUAAUCGUUUGUCUCGAACGAAACCUAAAUUUUCGUACAAUCGAAGCGCUGGUCGAUUGGUUAUUUCCGUUUCUAAAACUACUUCGUCAGCGUCAUCAGCUACCAUUGCUUGAAUCGCUCUUCUCACAAGAUUGGAACCAAUUUUACGCUUACGGUAUUUCACAUCUACCGCAAGCAUUGCAAUGUAUCCGCGCUUUAUCACUUUUCUGUGGACAUCAAGCUUGCAAACAAUUGCUCCAACACACUCCUCUUCGUGCAUAGCCUUUGAAAAGAAAGAAAACACGGAACCAUUAUGUCACCGAUGAAAAUUAUUCAACUUUUGUAGAUAAAAUGUAAUGUUAUAAUAAAUUUCAAAUUAAA
rnacentral:misc_RNA from 1 species